rnacentral:lncRNA from 1 species
CUGCACAAGUUAGUGGUUACUUGGGCAUGGUUGCUCUCUCAUUUCAGAGUCUCCUUUUGAAGUGGUUCAAAGGUAGAGAGCACUUUAGGAGAAUGGUGUGUUUUAAAACCUGGCUGGCAUUUACAAUGUUCUGCUCUGUUCUUCUCUGCAUUAGCUAUAAGAUAGUGGGCUUUAGUUUGCAGUAGAGAUCUUGUGGCUCAGGAGCCUGAAGAGUUUACUACUCAGCUCUGUGAAUCUUCUUUAAGAUGAUCUUUGAGAAUACCUUUCCAUGUCGUCCUUAAAGCAAGCUAUUGUCAUCCAUUGCUAGCAUUCAGAUUCUCAAGACAAGUAUGUCAUGAGAAAUGAACCUGCAAAGACUACCUGCUUUCUUACCACACUCAUUUCUCCUCACCACUUGUGCCUGCUGAAGGCACAAGAAGUUAAGGACAGUUUCUGACCUCAAAUCAGAUUUUACCAUUUUAGGGAUGUAACCUUGAAUGGAUGGUGGUGUUUUAAUUUCUUCCGCUGUAAGUUACCUAUUUUGUUGGCUUUUUGAACAUCAAUGGGUAUAUGUGUCUGAUACUCGUAAUGCUUAGUAGUAUCAGGUAUGAGAAGGACAACAGUUACAGAAGACGCUACUAUAAUCCAUUCAUAGGAAAUACAGAGGGCUGCCAAAUGCAAAGUGAGAGUAUCAACUUUGUUCUAGCCUGUCUGUAGCCUAGAAGGCCUUAAUAUAAAUGUCGGAGGGAAGUUCUCUCAAUAAUUCAGGAUGGUGCUCCAACAGGCCACAAGGGGAGAAAUGGCAGGAGUUAAAGCUGAAAGCAUGCUGAGGGCCAGGUGUGAAUGACAUCAAGACAUUUAAGGACUUUGCUUUAAGAACAAUGGUAACUCACUAAUACAGCAAACCACAUAUGUUGCAUUUUUGAAAUUUCAGUUUGGCUGUCAGGUAGAAAACAUGAAAUUUAAGUAGAUAAAAAGCAUGUGGACCAUUAGAAGGUUUUGAUGUUUAAAACGUCAUCAAUUAGGUAAGUGCUUGUGAGGAUGAAAGUGAGGAGUGACACAUGGACGGGUCUUCUGAGGAGGACGGUGAUAUUUAAAUGUUUUCCAAAGCUGAAGAGGAGGAAUUCAUGACGCCUCUCUUGGUUUCUAUUUUCCAGUUGGUGUUCUUUAUAUAAAGUGGGGACAUUUGCUGUUUAAUGAGGCAAGGAUUCUCACGGGGCCACAAUUUCAUCUGGAAGAGAUAGAGUGCCAGCCUAUCAUGGUUUGAGAAGCUUGGGAGAUGCACAUAGACACACAGGCACCUGGUAGUAAGGCGCCAGGGUGGAGCUUCAGAGUUUAAUCUUCCGUGAAAUUGUCUGUGCUGCCUCACAGGGAAGCCACGUCUAAACACUGGAAGAUGUUCCAUAGCCAGCACUUUGAGAACUUAUUUCACAUAGUCUUGAUUUAUACCUUACAUUUGAUUUACUUACAUGGCACAGCAUGAUUCCUAAAGGUUAAAAGCAAUGGCUAUUAUUUAUUUAUUUAUUUUUAUUUAUUUAUUUAUUUAUUUAUUUAUUUAGGAGACAUGGUUGUUAAUUUCACUUCAGUCAUAUAGUGUGUCCAUUCACUUAGACUCAGCACUUUUCUGGUGUUAUAAAAGAAGACUUUGUUUUUACUAAACAACAUGUAUCUGUCGAAAUGACUUCUUGGAUGUUAUUUCAGAAGUUCAAGUGAGUUUUCAGGAUUCAGCUCACAGUAUUCAGAUACGAAUCUAUAAUCUGUUCUGUAUCCAUUCUGUAGGCAGGAAGAGGUACACGGUUGGCCACAAACCUCAGGUCAAAACUUGUUUCCUCAUAGGCAGUGGUCAAUGAAAAAGACAGACAACAAAGGAAAUGUUUGUAAAGCGUAGAGCGUAUGAGAUAGCAAAAGUGAUUUGGAGAAAAUUCACACUAAGAAGUUGGAAGGGGUAUUUUUGGUUUUCAGUGGGGUUGUCCAAGAAGACUGUGCUGUGACAUUUGAAAAUUGAUAUAAUAGGGAUGGAGAUGGAAGUCAAGCAAAUAUCUGGGAUCCGAGUCUGGCAGACAGACAGUCAUGGCUUUCAGUAACCCAACAACAGUGAAAUAAGAGACAAAGUUAUAGUAGAUGAAAUUUGCUAAAGGAGAAGGCAUGACUGCAGGUUUUGGGGCCUUUUAGACAACGAUAGAAAGGAAGCCAGAGUUUCCAGUAGUGGCAUGUUGUGUUUCAGCUUCCUUUCUGAAGGAUCACUAUAGUUGUUACAGAAAAAGAAAGAACAACUUUGGGAGUCAGAAUGGCAGCAGAGAGGACUGCAGUAAUUCAGGCAAAUAAGAACUUAUGGACAUACUCCAUUCCAAUAGGUCUGGAGUCUGCCUGCACUGCUCUGUCCCAACAGCUCAUUCAUGACAGGCACUGAUCUCAAGAGUAGGCUUGAACUAUCCUGGGUACCAUAGAUAACCAUGUGUCCACAGAACCACCAACCCAGGGCAAAUUUCAUGUUGUUGUUUUCCAUUUUGUCAGUUAUCAUCUUAUUUACUUAUAAUAGUGAACUUGCUGAUUCCUUCUUGUCCCCAUAGGAGCUUUUCAGGGCUCUGACAUUCUUAGUAUAAAGAAUGUCUGUGUGGCAAGUAAAAUAAAAUGCCCUGCAAAGGUCCAUUCUGGACAACCUUGUUCUAGGAUGAAGUUAGGACAGACAGGGAUGUCUCUCAACUUCUGCACCUCGAGGAAUUGAUAGGUUAGAGUUAGGAAAAUGGUUUAACUUUAGUCUAUAUCACACCCAUUUACUCUACACACAGUAAAAAAAAUGAAUACAGAUAAGACUUAUUGUGAGAGCAGAUAAAAGCAGAAAGAUAGAAAUGAAGUUUUGAACAGGGGAAGUCAUGAACAGAGAAUCUUCCCAUAACACAUGGUGUCAGCGGAAACGGGAAAUUCUUUUACUUGAAAACUUCUUUGGAGAAAUGAUGUUCUUUUGCUCAUAAUAACCAUUGAAUUGUUGCUCACACAACAGAAAGCUCAAAGUCCACAUCCCCAUAGGACUUACUGCUGUUAUGGGUUGUCUCUACCAACUCUCCCACUUUUAACUCUAAGUUACUUUCUCUCCAAAGUGGUAAUUCCAUUCAAUGGCAAAGUAACAGGUAACCCUCUAAUCUACAAGACAAUGAGAUCAGAAGCUAAAGUCAAUGGGAGUGUGAAGAUUGGCCUAGCAUGUGUUUGCAAUAUCUUCUUUGAGCAAAGUAUGGUUUCCCACUGUACUAGAUCCAAUAUUAACCCUGGAAUUAUGUGAGUAUUUACAUGAGCCCUGGGAAAGACUAUCUCAUUGAAGCAAAUGAAACCUAUAAUUAAUGUCUCCAUGGCCUUGAGUAUUUGUGCAGUUUAGUGUUUAUAUUUUAUCUGCAAGCCCUCUGCAGAAAACAUAAGGUGGCUUUUACUUGCUUGAAAAUCAAGAGACUUUAGAAACUAUUAUUUCCGCAUAGUAGGUUUUAAACAAAUUUUGCUAAAUGGAUGAAUACAUACACAUGUAAACAAACAAGGAGGUGAGAGCCUUAUAAAUGGCUUUGGAAUCCACACACAAAUUCAUCUUAGCAUAUAAAAUACAUCAACAUUUAACGAUGAGAGAAACAAGGGAAAGGGAGGGAGGGAGAGAGAGAAUGAAUGCCCAUUAUUAACUCGUUAUGGUUCCCUUUAUUUAUUAAUAGGAACAACUUCAGAAGAUGCAGAGUGAGUUUUGAUGGGAAAGAGACUCUU